GGAUGUGAGGGCGAUCUGGCUGCGACAUCUGUCACCCCAUUGAUCGCCAGGGUUGAUUCGGCUGAUCUGGCUGGCUAGGCGGGUGUCCCCUUCCUCCCUCACCGCUCCAUGUGCGUCCCUCCCGAAGCUGCGCGCUCGGUCGAAGAGGACGACCUUCCCCGAUAGAGGAGAGGACCGUUCUUCGGUCAAGGGUAUACGAGUAGCUGCGCUCCCCUGCUAGAACCUCCAAACAAGCUCUCAAGGUCUGGCGACAAUUCAAAGAAUGUAUACCUAUGAUAUAUUGGCAAUUUCGGGAUGAUCCCGGAAUUUCU
rnacentral:snRNA from 1 species